AUUCUAGAGUUUGAUCAUGGCUCAGGAUGAACGCUAGCGGGAGGCCUAACACAUGCAAGCCGAGCGGUAGAAGAUCUUCGGAUCUUUGAGAGCGGCGUACGGGUGCGGAACACGUGUGCAACCUGCCUUUAUCAGGGGGAUAGCCUUUCGAAAGGAAGAUUAAUACCCCAUAAUAUAAUGAGUGGCAUCACUUAUUAUUGAAAACUCCGGUGGAUAGAGAUGGGCACGCGCAAGAUUAGAUAGUUGGUAGGGUAACGGCCUACCAAGUCAGUGAUCUUUAGGGGGCCUGAGAGGGUGAUCCCCCACACUGGUACUGAGACACGGACCAGACUCCUACGGGAGGCAGCAGUGAGGAAUAUUGGACAAUGGGUGAGAGCCUGAUCCAGCCAUCCCGCGUGAAGGACGACGGCCCUAUGGGUUGUAAACUUCUUUUGUAUAGGGAUAAACCUUUCCACGUGUGGAAAGCUGAAGGUACUAUACGAAUAAGCACCGGCUAACUCCGUGCCAGCAGCCGCGGUAAUACGGAGGGUGCAAGCGUUAUCCGGAUUUAUUGGGUUUAAAGGGUCCGUAGGCGGAUCUGUAAGUCAGUGGUGAAAUCUCAUAGCUUAACUAUGAAACUGCCAUUGAUACUGCAGGUCUUGAGUAAAGUAGAAGUGGCUGGAAUAAGUAGUGUAGCGGUGAAAUGCAUAGAUAUUACUUAGAACACCAAUUGCGAAGGCAGGUCACUAUGUUUUAACUGACGCUGAUGGACGAAAGCGUGGGGAGCGAACAGGAUUAGAUACCCUGGUAGUCCACGCCGUAAACGAUGCUAACUCGUUUUUGGGUUUUCGGAUUCAGAGACUAAGCGAAAGUGAUAAGUUAGCCACCUGGGGAGUACGUUCGCAAGAAUGAAACUCAAAGGAAUUGACGGGGGCCCGUACAAGCGGUGGAUUAUGUGGUUUAAUUCGAUGAUACGCGAGGAACCUUACCAAGGCUUAAAUGGGAAUUGACAGGUUUAGAAAUAGACUUUUCUUCGGACAAUUUUCAAGGUGCUGCAUGGUUGUCGUCAGCUCGUGCCGUGAGGUGUUAGGUUAAGUCCUGCAACGAGCGCAACCCCUGUCACUAGUUGCCAUCAUUCAGUUGGGGACUCUAGUGAGACUGCCUACGCAAGUAGAGAGGAAGGUGGGGAUGACGUCAAAUCAUCACGGCCCUUACGCCUUGGGCCACACACGUAAUACAAUGGCCGGUACAGAGGGCAGCUACCUAGCGAUAGGAUGCGAAUCUCGAAAGCCGGUCUCAGUUCGGAUUGGAGUCUGCAACUCGACUCUAUGAAGCUGGAAUCGCUAGUAAUCGCGCAUCAGCCAUGGCGCGGUGAAUACGUUCCCGGGCCUUGUACACACCGCCCGUCACACACGGUACCAU
rnacentral:rRNA from 1 species